AUGGGGACAGAGGGAAGGCGCUAACUUGGGUGGAAAGUUUGCCCCGAAGAACUCCCACGGCUCUGGCCUCCCCUCCCCCUCUUGGGCUCUCUGUCGCCUAGCCUAGAGGAGAAGCUGGUUAGCAGAGAAAUGGCAACUCAGAGGAGCGCUGGAACUAGAAACUUUCUGUCAGUGUAACAACGUCCGCGUGGGUGGUGACCCAAUGAUGGUUGGGCUUCAGGUCACGUGACAGCCUCAUUGUAGCUCCGGAAGAGAACAUGAAGUUUAGGUUGCCUGGAAGAAGCAGUAAUAAGCUAGAUUUGGGGUUAGCUUGAUGAGACUGAAAGGGAAAACAAAAAAAAAAAUCAAGAUUUGGGGGAAUUACCCACAGAGAUGCAAGGUAAGUCGAUGAUAACCAACCCAUUAAGUUUUGAAUGUGCUUCUCUGCCCUGCUUGCCUAUCUUGGCUCCCUCUACCCGACUCCACUUCACCUCUCCAAUCUGAAAUUCCAACUUGGUAGUGCUGGAACCCUGGGACCCCUGGGAUUGAUGUGGUCCGUCUCCAACCUGCUGUGGAUUCCUUUCCAAGGGUGUUGACAGGCAGAUGGAACCAGGCAAGGAGGACUUAAAAGACAGCCCCUCGGGCCUGGGAGCCAGGAAGGUACCCCAGGCCUGUCCUGUUUCUGGAAGCCUGGCGACAACCCCAACACACACCUCUUUCAGGACUCCAAACCGCGCCCAUCCCCCAGUUCCACCGUCUCCCUGGCCCUUAACCUCACCCCCCCUCCCAACC